rnacentral:rRNA from 1 species
AACGAACGCUGGCGGCAGGCCUAACACAUGCAAGUCGAGCGCCCAGCAAUGGGAGCGGCGCACGGGUGAGUAACACGUGGGAAUAUGCCUCGGGAUCGGGAAUAACGGCGGGAAACUGCCGCUAAUGCCCGGUACGCCUUGAGAGGGAAAGGAGCAAUCCGUCCUGAGAGUAGCCCGCGUUGGAUUAGCUAGUUGGUGGGGUAACGGCCCACCAAGGCUACGAUCCAUAGCUGGUCUGAGAGGAUGAUCAGCCACACUGGGACUGAGACACGGCCCAGACUCCUACGGGAGGCAGCAGUGGGGAGUAUUGGACAAUGGGGGAAACCCUGAUCCAGCCAUGCCGCGUGAGUGAAGAAGGCCUUAGGGUUGUAAAGCUCUUUCGCACGCGACGAUGAUGACGGUAGCGUGAGAAGAAGCCCCGGCUAACUUCGUGCCAGCCGCCGCGGUAACAC